GGGGCGGUGGCGGAAUAGGCAGACGCCGGGGACUUAAAAUCCCCUACUUUUACGAGUGUGUGGGUUCGACUCCCACCCGCCCUA
rnacentral:tRNA from 1 species